GGGUUUGGUUCAAUCCCAGAUAUUGGGUUUUUCAUGUAGAGUUUUUUUUUUAGUUUUUUUGGGUUCGGAUUCUCUCAAGUUUGAGUUUUUUUUUAUUUUAAUCUUUUCAAGUUAUGGUUUUUGACUUUUUGGUCAAAUCAAGCUUAAGCAGGCUCAUACUCAAGUCUCUCAAGUCGGGUUUCAAAGCUUAGGCAUAUUUUGCCACCUCUACUUAUACUUUAAAAAUUUUGAAAGUUCACUCCAAUAGCCUUAACUCCAUUAACUAAAAUGUUAAUUUUUUUUAGUAUUAUGUGAAAAUAACAAACUAACAAAAUAUGGU
rnacentral:lncRNA from 1 species